GGUAUUACUCUUCUCCCACUGAUCUCACAGUAACAGGCAUGGAACCCUGGCUGAGUCAUUUACUGAUUCUUGCUGCAUUUUGUUAUGAAUGCAGAGGAGAAGACUCAGUCAUUCAGCCACCAGGAGAUGUGAUCGCUACUGAGGGAGAACAGGUCACACUGGACUGUCGAUUUGAUGCAGUUAAUAUGAAGGAUCUCUACCUGUUCUGGUACAAGCAUGAAUUACAUGGCUUCCCAGAGUUCAUGUUGGGCCGUUUUCCUUUUGGAAGUAAAAAUGCCACUGAGUUCAAGGAUAGAUUUGAUGCCCAUCUCGAUGCAGACUCCAAGUCAGUCCCCUUGAUGAUCCAGAGGGUGCAGCUGUCUGACUCUGCUGUGUACUACUGUGCUCUGAGGCGCACUGUGAAAACAGGAUAUACAGCCUCAUUACAACAACUAUUUGAUAGUGUGAUAUAA